rnacentral:piRNA from 1 species
UCCGCAGGCAUAAUUCCUAUUGGGGGUCCU